rnacentral:rRNA from 1 species
CAGCCGCCGCGGUAAUACCGGCGGCCCGAGUGGCGGUCACUAUUAUUGGGCUUAAAGCGUCCGUAGCCGGGUUGGGAAGUCCUCCGGGAAAUCUGGCCGCUUAACGGUCAGAAUGCCGGAGGAUACUCCCAGCCUAGGGAGCGGGAGAGGCCGAGGGUAUUCCCGGAGGAGGGGGGAAAUCCUAUAAUCCCGGGAGGACCACCUGUGGCGAAGGCGCUCGGCUGGAACGCGUCCGACGGUGAGGGACGAAGGCCAGGGGAGCAAACCGGAUUAGAUACCCGGGUAGUCCUGGCUGUAAACGAUGCGGACUUUGUGUCGGACAAGCUAUGAGCUUGUCCGGUGCCGGAGGGAAACCGUUAAGUCCGCCGCCUGGGGAGUACGGCCGCAAGGCUGAAACUUAAAGGAAUUGGCGGG